UGCACUUUGUAUCUGUUGUAGCAUCCAUGGCAAUAAACAGAAGGCAUUACUUUCUGAGCAAUAUACAUAAUUAAUUAAUAGGAAUACCUGAAAUUAUCUAGAUCUCAACAAUAUAACCUUUCUGCCUAUUUCUAAAAUGACCCAAGUUUUGUCUUCUUGAUAAAUAUACGUGAAAGCAUCCCUGUGUAAUAAAUAAGACUGAAUUUCAUUUACACCAGCAACAUCUCAUAAUCCUAUAUAUCACACGUUGAAAUCAAAUCAGACUUCCCUUUUUUGUUUCAAAAAUCAUUGUACUGGAGAACAGCUAAGAACCACAGAUUAUAUGCGACUACAGAUUUAGUUCCUAUCAAAUCAGUGCAAAUCUCAUUCAGAAUUUAAGAAGUUUUCUCCUCCUGAUUUAGCCAUAAUUGAAGAGACAGGUCAGCUGAGCCUGAUUCAAUCCUGGGUUGGAGGACAUGCAAAUACCUGCAGGUUCUCCUCUUUCAGUCUCUGCAGUCAUCACUGCCAUCUGGAAAUUGCUGAUCACCCUUGCCCAUCUCUGUCACUCUUUGAGCACUGGAAGUUUUAAAAUGUCAAAGGACUGCAAAUCAGGGACGUGAAUCCACUACGUCUGCCCAUCACGGUGACUGCGCUGGAAGCAUCCUUCUGGGGAAGGUGGCACACAAAUGUGCACAAGACAUCCUCAUUACCAACCUGACUGAAAGAUAAAAAAGGGGAAAAGAAAAUCCUUUCUCAGUUGGGAAAGUUAGGGUGGAUCUCCCUUUCCCAUUCAUUCUGGCCAGACAGAAGACAAUUUAAGAUUAUUAGAAGUGGAGGUCUGGAACACUGUCUUGUUCUUUGGGGGCCUGAGUUGAAGACUUUGGUACUAGUUAUGGCUGAAAUCUACGAGUACUUGUGAACUCUGAAUUAGCCAAUGUAAAGUUGGCAGAUGGAUUUACAUUUACAUACACAGGACUUUUCAGUGCUUCAGAGAACAGUGUCUUCAAAACCCCUACUGUCAUUACAGGGAAACUGUCAUUUCUUUUUCCCUGAUGGAAACAUUUUCCUUUUCUAGACACACAUAGGAGAGUCCAUGCCAGGAGAGAAUUUUCCUGUAUUGUAAAAAUACAGCUUGAGAAGGCAACAUUUCCUCUAAACUGCUCAUCAGUCUCUACUGUAGCAUUUUCCACUGCCAAAUGUAAGCUGAGUAAAAGAAAACAAAAAAUUGAAGGCAUUUCUUUCCAAUAUUCAGGAUUCAGAAACUGCAAAUAUUUGAAAAAGACACAGAUGAAGAAAGGAAGGAAACAAACAAAACUGUAUUAGAAUUCUGCCUUCUGAUGCAUUUUGCCUGGCAUUUGGUAAUAUCUGUGGUAAGCAACUGGGAUUUUACCUUUCUGUAGACUGUAGGUCUCAUACUAAAGCCAUAAGCAAAGUAAAUUAAUAAAAUACUGUUGGUGGAACAUCUUAUUUCUAUAGCCUAUGUCUUCUUGAACUCCUCAUAGGGCUGUAGACAGCCCAAGUGUUUCCUGAAUAUUAAAGAAAGACAUAAGAUUAAGAGAUAAACAAUUAUUUCUUUAAAUAAAUUAAAAAAAAAAAAGUAAUUUCAGGAAGAGAUAAUGAUGUAGCUAUCCCUCUUGGGUAAAGUAAAUGUUACUUUAUUGUCACAGAAAUGUCUAUUCCAGGUGUGCUAUCACAUUCUGUGCUUGAUCAGCCAAUUAACAGCUCCUUGUUUCCUGAUGAACAGUCACCUCAAUGACAAGCAUUUAUUUCACUCCUGUAGUUUGUUACAUUCCCUCCCUUAGAAUCAUACAGAAUAAAGAUACUGAAUGGGAUAGAUGAUUGCAACUCAUAACCUGUAUUGAUUGAAACAAGACUGGAUGCUGCUUAUCCACUUUGGGAAAACAGGGAUCAAGGCAUAUGAACUCUGAAUACACUACUUCUAAACUGUACCACACUUAAGUAUGCAAACAUUUUUUAGUUGUUCAGGCAAUGCUGUUCUUGAAGAAAUGAAAAAAGUCCACAAGGUUUCAGGUUCUCAUUGUGUUUGAAAAAUAGAUUAAAUGUGGAAUUCUAAGGUACAGUGAGUAAUGAACUGAGUGAAACCCAAUCGCCGUGGAUUUCUGGCACUUUCUGAGAAUGCAUAAUAAAUUUAUUUGAAAU
rnacentral:lncRNA from 7 species